UUUUUUUUUGUUUUUCUGCACGGAAUAUUUUAAAGAAAGAAAAAGAAAAAAAAGUCAACCGACCUACUGGGCCGUGUCCGGCUAGGACUCUUGGCCCGGCCGGCCCUUCUAAGCCAGGAGGCCACCCCGCAGCCCAACCCGAGCCGCCCCGCCGCCCAAACCCUAGCGCCGCCCCGCCGCCGCCGUCCCGCCGCCCGAGGUUGACCGCCGCCGGUUUCCGCGAGAAAACCGCCCGGUUUUUCGUUUGGUUUUUUUACCCUAGAUUUUUUUAUAUAGAUCGGUUUAGUUUUUUUUCGGUUUACUUAUUUUGCGGACGUUCGUCCGUACAUUCGUUUUAAUGAACGGUUUUCGUCGUUUAACCGCAGACAGCGAACGUUCGUUCGUUAGCCUGUUCGUCAGUUUUUCUUUUUCUCGGAUUUUCCGCGAUUAUUUUCGAUCGCGAUUUCCGAUCUGAUUUUCGUUUUAGUAUAACUUUUCGCUCGUUUAUCGGAAUCAGGCGAUUCAAGCGCCUAGAGUUUCGUCUCGAAACCCUCUUUCUGUUUAACCAACUUAAAGAAGUUUUUGCUACUGUAAAAAUUUGACUUAGGUCCAGAUUAGUAAACGAAGCUUGUUUCUUUCGCCGUUUGAGUUUCGUUGCUUCGUUCGAUUUGAUUCUUUUUGCAAACCGGAGUUCUUAAGUUGAACUUUCUGGUUAGAUCUCUUAUUUUGAGUUUUACCCGUGCACCCUUGCUUGAUUGCUUAUGUAUGUAUUGUUUGUUUGCGAUAGAGUACCCGGAGUGCGAAGCGUGCUACUAUGAGUCUCUAGGUUUCACGGAUCAUCAGCAAGGCAAGUAACACUUUGAUCAUAUCUCUUUCAUACCCAGUUUUUAUGCAUUAGAUUCAACCCUCAAACAUUGCAUGAGUAGGAUUGAUAACAUGUGGGUAUUGGGAAGUAGUUGAUGAUGUAGGAACCUAUUGCCCUGCAUUCAAACCCUUGGGAGUUACUUCUACGUUUGCUUAUAUUGCUAUGCUAUGCUCGUAGACGUGGAUUGGGUUUGAGUGAUUACAUGACAGAUGUGAGAUUGUUAAUUAAUGGUUAAAUUAAGGUGGCUACUUUAAUUUACAUCUGGGUGGAUUGAGGCACCUGGGGAACCCAGCGAUUGCCUGGAUUUUUUUGGAAAUCCCGGGGUACCGUGUGAUUCUCCUAUGGACCGCCACCCAGGCUCAAAGGGAUCAUGAGAUUAUUCAUACUAGAAACUUCCAUGUGCAUCCACAAGCUAUUAUGGGCUCUAGCAUAGUUGAUUAAGUCGUGUGAACUCUUACAGUGGUAGACUAGCAGAUGUAGGGGAAAGUAGGUGUAACUGUCUACCCAUCGUAAGGUGCUAACGCUUCUGAAAGACUGUGUCUCGGUCAUCCGUUUCUCAAACACCAUGUAGUGCGAGAAAUCCAACGGAGGAGAUCGAGUCUUGUGGGGAAAAGUGCACAAACCUCUGCAGAGUGUACAAACUAAUCAUGGUUAGCCGUGUCCCCGAUUAUGGACAUCUUGAGUAUCUAGUUCUUGGAUUAUCAUAUCGAUCUCAUCACGUUACUUAAAUAAUUUGUUGGGUUGUUAAUGAUUACUUUUAAUUGGGAUUGAGAGGGGGUUUACCUUCUCAAUAUUUUUCAACCAACUUUGUAGUUAAAUAAAAUAUAUUCCUUUGUAGUAGGGAAAAAUUGGCUUUAUGCAAAACCGUAACCAUAGAGCUUUCCACCAGCCAAAUAUGCAUGUAGUGAUAGCAUUAUUCUGUUCAUUACUCUAUGUGUUACCUUGCCAGCAUAUUCUUGGUGUUGACCCGUUUUCGGGCUGCAACGUUCAUGUUGCAGACUUUUCAGACGACGAGUAAGGUGCUAUAGGUCGUGGUCUUAUACUCAGUGAUGCCGUUGGAGUUGAUGGACUCACUUUAUCUUCCAAGCCUUCCACUGUUAUCGUAAUUAGAUGGCCUUAAUCCAUAUUUAUUGUAAAAGUUCUCUUUUGAGACAUUCGAUGUAAUAAGUGUGUGAUUGCUACUCUGUUAUAAAUCCUUCAAGUACUGUGCGUGUCAGCAUUACCGAUCCAGGGAUGACACUUAUGCACAGAGACUAGACUGUUUGAGGUCUGGUCGCUACAGCAUGUUGUGAUGUGAUAUGGUCAAGACAUGAUGCUAAAUUUUAUUGUAUGAGAUGAUCAUGUUUUGUAACGGAGUUAUCGGCAACUGGCAGGAGCCAUAUGGUUGUCGGUUUGUUGUAUGAAAUGCAAUCGCCAUGUAAUUGAUUUACUUUAUCACUAAGCGGUAGCGAUAGUCGUAGAAGCAAUAGUUGGCGAGACAACAACGAUGCUACGAUGGAGAUCAAGGUGUCGCGCCGGUGACGAUGGUGAUCAUGACGGUGCUUUGGAGAUGGAGAUCAAAGGCACAAGAUGAUGAUGGCCAUAUCAUAUCACUUAUAUUGAUUGUAUGUGAUGUUUAUCCUUUAUGCAUCUUAUUUUGCUUAGUUCGACGGUAGCAUUAUAAGAUGAUCUCUCACUAAAUUUCAAGGUACAAGUGUUCUCCCUGAGUAUGCACCGUUGUGAAAGUUCGUCGUGCCGAGACACCACGUGAUGAUCGGGUGUGAUAAGAUCUAUGUUCACAUACAACGGGUGCAAGCCAGUUUUGCACACGCAGAAUACUCGGGGUUAAACUUGACGAGCCUAGCAUAUGCAGAUAUGGCCUCGGAACACUGAGACCGAAAGGUCAUAUAGUAGAUAUGAUCAACAUAGUGAUGUUCACCAUUGAAAACUACUCCAUCUCACGUGAUGAUCGGACAUGGUUUAGUUGAUUUGGAUCACGUGAUCACUUAGAUGAUUAGAGGGAUGUCUAUGUAAGUGGGAGUUCUUUAGUAAUAUGAUUAAUUGAACUUUAAUUUAUCAUGAACUUAGUACCUUAUAGUAUUUUGCAUGUCUAUAUUGUUGUAGAUAGAUGGGUCGUGAUGUUGUUCCAUUGAAUUUUAAUGCGUUCCUAGAGAAAGCUAAGUUGAAAUAUGAUGGUAGCAACUACAUGGACUGGGUCCGUAACUUGAGGAUUAUCCUCAUUGCUGCACAGAAGAAUUACGUCCUGGAAGCACCGCUAGGUGCCAAACCCGCUGCAGGAGCAACGCCAGAUGUUAUGAACGUCUGGCAGAGCAAAGCUGAUGACUACUCAAUAGUUCAGUGUGCCAUGCUUUACGACUUAGAACCGGUACUUCAACGACGUUUUGAACGUCAUGGAGCAUAUGAGAUGUUCUAGGAGUUGAAGUUAAUAUUUCAAGCAAAUGCCCGGAUUGAGAGAUAUGAAGUCUCCAAUAAGUUCUACAGCUGCAAAAUGGAGGAGAAUAGUUCUGUCAGUGAGCAUAUACUCAAAAUGUCUGGGUAUAACAAUCACUUGAUUCGACUGGGACUUAAUCUUCCUGAUGAUAGUGUCAUUGACAGAAUUCUUCAAUCACUGCCACCAAGCGACAAGAGCUUCGCGAUGAACUAUAAUAUGCAAGGGAUGGAUAAGACGAUUCCCGAGCUCUUUGCAAUGCUAAAGGCUGCGGAGGUAGAAAUCAAGAAGGAGCAUCAAGUGUUGAUGGUCAACAAGACCACCAGUUUCAAAAAAAGGGUAAAGGGAAGAAGGGGAACUUCAAGAAGAACGGCAAGCAAGUUGCUGCUCAAGUGAAGAAGCCCAAGUCUGGACCAAAGCCUGAGACUGAGUGCUUCUACUGCAAAGGGACUGGUCACUGGAAGCGGAACUGCCCCAAGUAUUUGGUGGAUAAGAAGGAUGGCAAGCUGAACAUAGGUAUAUGUGAUAUACAUGUUAUUGAUGUGUACCUUACUAAUGCUCGCGGUAGCACCUAGGUAUUUUAUACUGGUUUUGUUGCUAAUAUUUACAACUCGAAACAGGGACUACUGAUUAAGCGAAGAUUGGCUAAGGACGAGGUGACGAUGCGCGUGGGAAAUGGUUCCAAAGUCGAUGUGAUCACGGUCGGCAUGCUACCUCUACAUCAACCUUCGGGAUUAGUUUUAGAGCUGAGUAAUUGUUAUUUGGUGCCAGCGUUGAGCAUGAACAUUACAUCUGGAUCUUGUUUGAUGCGAGACGGUUAUUCAUUUAAAUAAGAGAAUAAUGGUUGUUCUAUUUAUAUGAGUAAUAUCUUUUAUGGUCAUGCACCCUUGAAGAAUGGUCUAUUUUUGUUGAAUCUCGAUAGUAGUGAUACACAUAUUCAUAAUAUUGAAGCCAAAAGAUGCAGAGUUUAUAAUGAUAGUGCAACUUAUUUGCGGCACUGCCGUUUGGGUCAUAUUGGUGUAAAGCGCAUGAAGAAACUCCAUCCUGAUGGACUUUUGGAAUCACUUGAUUAUGAAUCACUUGGUACUUGCGAACCAUGCCUCAUGGGCAAGAUGACUAAAACUCCAUUCUCCGGAACAAUGGAGCGAGCAACAGAUUUGUUGGAAAUCAUACAUACUGAUGUAUGUGGUACGAUGAAUGUUGAGGCUCGUGGCAGGUAUCGUUAUUUUCUCACCUUCACAGAUGAUUUGAGAAGAUAUGGGUAUAUCUACUUAAUGAAACAUAAGUCUGAAACAUUUGAAAAGUUCAAAGAAUUUCAGAUUGAAGUGGAAAAUCAUCGUAAUAAGAAAAUAAAGUUUCUACGAUCUGAUCGUGGAGGAGAAUAUUUGAGUUACGAGUUUGGUCUUCGUUUGAAACAAUGCGGAAUAGUUUCGCAACUCACGCCACCCGGAACACCACAGCGUAAUGGUGUGUCCGAACGUCGUAAUCGUACUUUACUAAUAUGGUGUGAUCUAUGAUGUCUCUUACUAAUUUACCGCUAUCGUUUUGGGGUUAUGCUUUAGAGACGGCUGCAUUCACGUUAAAUAGGGCACCAUCUAAAUCCGUUGAGACGACACCUUAUGAACUGUGGUUUGGCAAGAAACCAAAGUUGUCGUUUCUUAAAGUUUGGGGCUGCGAUGCUUAUGUGAAAAAGCUUCAACCUGAUAAGCUCGAACCCAAAUCGGAGAAAUGUGUCUUCAUAGGAUACCCAAAGGAGACUGUUGGGUACACCUUCUAUCACAGAUCCGAAGGCAAGACAUUCGUUGCUAAGAAAGGAUCCUUUCUAGAGAAGGAGUUUCUCUCGAAAGAAGUGAGUGGGAGGAAAGUAGAACUUGAUGAGGUAACUCUACCUGCUCCCUUAUUGGAAAGUAGUUCUUCACAGAAAUCUGUUCCUGUGACUCCUACACCAAUUAGUGAGGAAGCUAAUGAUGAUGAUCAUGAAACUUCAGAUCAAGUUACUACUGAACCUCGUAGGUCAACCAGAGUAAGAUCCGCACCAGAGUGGUAUGGUAAUCCUGUUCUGAAAGUCAUGUUACUUGACCAUGAUGAACCUACGAACUAUGAGGAAGCGAUGAUGAGCCCAGAUUCCGCGAAAUGGCUUGAGGCCAUGAAAUCUGAGAUGGGAUCCAUGUAUGAAAACAAAGUGUGGAUUUUUGUUGACUUGCCCGAUGAUCGGCAAGCCAUAGAGAAUAAAUGGAUCUUCAAGAAGAAGACUGACGCUGAUGGUAAUGUUACUGUCUACAAAGCUCGACUUGUUGCGAAGGGUUUUCAACAAGUUCAAGGAGUUGACUACGAUGAGACCUUCUCACUUGUAGCGAUGAUUAAGUCCGUCCGAAUCAUGUUAGCAAUUGCUGCAUUUUAUGAUUAUCAAAUUUGGCAAAUGGAUGUAAAGACUGUGUUCCUGAAUGGAUUUCUAGAAGAAGAGUUGUAUAUGAUGCAACCUGAAGGUUUUAUUGAUCCAAAGGAUGCUAACAAAAGUGUGCAAGCUCCAGCGAUCCAUUUAUGGACUGGUGCAAGCAUCUCGGAGUUGAAAUAAACGUUUUGAUAGUGUGAUCAAAGCAUAUGGUUUUAUACAGACUUUUGGAGAAGCCUGUAUUUACAAGAAAGUGGGUGGGAGCUCUGUAGCAUUUCUAACAUUAUAUGUGGAUGACAUAUUGUUGAUUGGAAAUGAUACAGAAUUUCUAGAUAGCAUAAAAGGAUACUUGAACAAGAGUUUUUUAAUGAAAGACCUCGGUGAAGCUGCUUAUAUAUUGGGCAUCAAGAUCUAUAGAGAUAGAUCAAGACGCUUAAUUGGACUUCCACAAAGCACAUACCUUGAUAAAGUUUUGAAGAAGUUCAAAAUGAAUCAAGCAAAGAAAGGGUUCUUGCCUGUGUUACAAGGUGUGAAGUUGAGUCAGAGUCAAUGCCCGACCACUGCAGAAGAUAGAGAGAAAAUGAAAGGUGUUCGCUAUGCUUCAGCCAUAGGCUCUAUCAUGUAUGCAAUGCUGUGUACCAGACCUGAUGUGUGCAUUGCUAUCAGUUUAGCGGGGAGGUACCAAAGUAAUCCAGGAGUGGAUCACUGGACAACGGUCAAGAACAUUCUGAAAUACCUGAAAAGGACUAAGGAUAUGUUUCUCGUUUAUGGAGGUGACAAAGAGCUCGUUGUAAAUGGUCACGUCGAUGCAAGCUUUGACACUGAUCCGGAUGACUCUAAGUCACAAAACGGAUACGUGUUUAUAUUGAACGGUGGAGCUGUCAGUUGGUGCAGUUCUAAGCAAAGCGUCGUGGCGGGAUCUACCUGUGAAGCGGAGUACAUAGCUGCUUCGGAAGCAGCAAAUGAAGGAGUCUGAAUGAAGGAGUUCAUAUCUAAUCUAGGUGUCAUACCUAGUGCAUCGGGUCCAAUGAAAAUCUUUUGUGACAAUACUGGUGCCAUUGCCUUGGCAAAAGAAUCCAGAUUUCACAAGAGAACCAAGCACAUCAAGAGACGCUUCAAUUCCAUCCGUGAUCAAGUCAAGGAGAGAGACAUAGAGAUUUGCAAGAUACAUACGGAUCUGAAUGUUGCAGACCCGUUGACUAAGCCUCUCUCACGAGCAAAACAUGAUCAGGACCAAGACUCCAUGGGUGUUAGAAUCAUUACUGUGUAAUCUAGAUUAUUGACUCUAGUGCAAGUGGGAGACUCUAGUGCAACCUGCUUCAGAGGGCUUGUCGCCGUGUCUAGGGUUUCCGGGUCGGUCCUCUCCUCCCUUGGAGCAGAAGGAGUUGGCGGGCUCCCCGCCUUACCCGAGGGACGGGGGGCGGGUUGCCUACUUGUAGCAGCGCCCUGUUCUGGACUAGACGGCCCGUCCACAUACAACCAGGCCCCAUACUUCAUAUGUUUCUUAUCAUGCAUACUUAGACCACACUCCUUAUGAUCAUGGCCUAUCAGCCCACACACCUUGCGGAAACGAGCUAGUUUUUCAUAUCGAACAAGGUACACCUGUCACUCCCUUGCUCGCACAAUACUGACAAACUUAGUAAGGGGGCUUUUGAUGUUGUCAUUCACCCUAACCCUCACAUAGUCACCUCUCGUGUUCCCAUUCAGCCGCAUCUCCAAGAUCUCCCCAGCGCCCUUCAACAGCUUCUUGACAAUGUGUUCCUUGCAAUAGGGAUCCGGGAGCUUAUGAAUCUGAAGCCAUAUUGGCAUGUGAUCAAACACCACGUCUUCAGCCCGACUGAAUCCAUCAUACGUGCACAACAGCACCGCCAUGUUGCGGAAUAACCAUGGCCCUUGUUUCAUGAUCCGUUCCCAGUCCCCCAAGCACGAGGCCUGGACGACGAAUCUGUUCGGCCCGACCGGCCGGAAUCUAACACCUUGCGCAGGGUUCCAAGCCGCCCUCAUCUCCUUGUAGAAAGCUGACGGAGAGAGUUUUGUCGGUAUGAACCCUAGCUAGAGCUAACCAACGGACGCUCUUUGAUCUCCGGAUCCUCUUCAUCUAUCUCCACGUCAUCAAAUUCUUCCUCAUUGAGAUCCAGUUGGUUGAAAAAAUUCUCCAGAUCGGGAUCAGCGGCCGCUCUGCCGCCGCCGCCAAAGCCGCCACCACCGCCGCCGCCGCCGUUAGUCGCUGAGUUUGCAUCCGAGGAGGACGCCAUCGCGAGCGAGACGUCGUAGCCCCAGGGAAUACCCCUGCGAGAUUCACCGGGAUCGGGUAUAGGACUCUGAGAGGACGAGUCGCCUCAGAGGAAGAAAACCCUACUUGUGCAACAUUUUCCCCGGAGUUCUGAUCCACGGCAUAACUGCGAACACUGCGGUGAGGUCUGCAUCUCAAGGAAUCAAACUGGCCGGACAUUUAAACCUGACGCAACAAACUCGGCAGUUUAUCACGCUGCUUCAUAAAAACCCGCGCACUGCGUAGACAGUCAGUUGGAUUGCGUGCUACUACCAGCCCGUGUGACUGCAAUAUCAUCAAUAUACAUACUCAAUUACUACCACGGAAUAAUAGAGUAGCCAACUGAGUCAGAGAUGCCCUUGCCUUGCCUCCUGCUAGUGCAAAUGCAACAAUGCCUAUGGUCAUCAGAUCAUGUGGGUGCCAUAUGGUUGGACUUGGGAGACGGGGGUUGGUGACGGGGACAGCUUGCCGCAACUGGUCGCUCUAGGAUUAGGGUCCCGAAAUACCAAACCUUGGAUGCAUUAGCAGGACGACCCCGUGAUUGCAGCAGGUUUUUGUAGCGGUGUCAGAAUUUAUCUACUGUUAUUACUGAACCACCAGCACGUUUCUUCUCACACACCACAAGUUUAUCCCAAAUUCUACGAACAAUCACUGAUAAGUGGGUCCGACCGUCGAUCCAAUUAUGUUCGUGCAAUCGUGUACAUAGCAGCGUUCUGUCCACGCAGGAGCCACACAAUCGUGUACCUCGCCUGCAGUGGCCAGUUUCCUCUAUCGGCCGCGAGCGCGCGAACGACCGAACUUCCCCUCCCUCACGGGCACAGCGUCUGACAUGAACGAGGAGCACGCACAGCGUCAUGUAGCUAUAGAAUCUUUCCUAGCCGGUGAACGUUGCCCCGGAAUCCCUGACAGCACCAGCGGCUCGUGCGGUCGUGCCCACCCGGCCACCCACCCGGUACGCUUGCCUCCCCCGUCGGACGCGCCAUGCAUGUGCCGCCACCGGCGCUGGAGCCCAGCGUCGUACCUCCCUACGCCGCGCCCAACAGUGCGUUCCACCGUUGAAAAUGGCGCGAGAUCACGAGCUCCUCGUCUUUAUCCCCCGUGAAAGCUACGGCUACGAGCCUACGACGAGGUUGCUACUGCAACACGAGCGGCCAUGUACAUGCAUGCCACAGUGAUGGGACUAGGAGCAAGUCGGAAUUUUAACGUCGUUGAAUUGAUCAUCAAUGGCGCGGAUGGUCCAGGGAGACAAUAAUAAACGCUAAGCUAGCUACUGGCCCCCGAAUGGCGGAUGGGGCAGGGCGGGAGUACAAUGCGCGCGUGAGUCGCGUACCCGCCGCGGGCGAAACCUUCGUGACAACAAUGGGGGAAUAAAUUCCGACCGGUUUCCACCGCACACGGCACCGCGCAGUCACCCUGGCAAGCACGUACGCCGCCUCGCCCGCCUCUGUACAUCCCGUGUCAUCCUCGGUGCCGGAACGCCGGAGCCGUGCCGCGACGGGUCG
rnacentral:lncRNA from 1 species